GAUGAACGCUGGCGGCGUGCCUAAUUCAUGCAAGUCGAGCGAACAGACGAGGAGCUUGCUCCUCUGACGUUAGCGGCGGACGGGUGAGUAACACGUGGAUAACCUACCUAUAAGACUGGGAUAACUUCGGGAAACCGGAGCUAAUACCGGAUAAUAUAUUGAACCGCAUGGUUCAAUAGUGAAAGACGGUUUUGCUGUCACUUAUAGAUGGAUCCGCGCCGCAUUAGCUAGUUGGUAAGGUAACGGCUUACCAAGGCAACGAUGCGUAGCCGACCUGAGAGGGUGAUCGGCCACACUGGAACUGAGACACGGUCCAGACUCCUACGGGAGGCAGCAGUAGGGAAUCUUCCGCAAUAGGCGAAAGCCUGACGGAGCAACGCCGCGUGAGUGAUGAAGGUCUUCGGAUCGUAAAACUCUGUUAUUAGGGAAGAACAAAUGUGUAAGUAACUAUGCACGUCUUGACGGUACCUAAUCAGAAAGCCACGGCUAACUACGUG
rnacentral:rRNA from 1 species